rnacentral:rRNA from 1 species
AGUGAACGCUGGCGGUAGGCCUAACACAUGCAAGUCGAACGGCAGCACAGUAAGAGCUUGCUCUUACGGGUGGCGAGUGGCGGACGGGUGAGUAAUACAUCGGAAUCUACUUUUUCGUGGGGGAUAACGUAGGGAAACUUACGCUAAUACCGCAUACGACCUACGGGUGAAAGCAGGGGAUCUUCGGACCUUGCGCGAUUGAAUGAGCCGAUGUCGGAUUAGCUAGUUGGCGGGGUAAAGGCCCACCAAGGCGACGAUCCGUAGCUGGUCUGAGAGGAUGAUCAGCCACACUGGAACGGAGAAAGGGUCCAAACUCCUACGGAAGGAAGCAGUGGGGAAUAUUGGACAAUGGGCGCAAGCCUAAUCCGGCAAUACCGGGUGGGUGAAGAAGGCCUUCGGGUUGUAAAGCCCUUUUGUUGGGAAAGAAAAGCAGCAGGUUAAUACCCCGCUGUUCUGACGGUACCCAAAGAAUAAGCACCGGCUAACUUCGU